rnacentral:misc_RNA from 1 species
AACCACAUCAAAUAACUGCUCUGGGGAAUACCCAAGAACGCGCCUCUCUUCAUAAACAUCGGAUAAAACACCACCUUCCUGUCCGUCUCCGCGGCCAAGAAAUCGUCUUUUUUGAGCAGCAGUAGCAUUAUUGUAAAAGCUUCCCAAUGCCAAACUAAAAUCGGUCUUCCUAUCAAUUACUUCAACGACCGAUGGGGUUGAGAUGCCAA